UACGUAGGGUCCGAGCGUUGUCCGGAAUUAUUGGGCGUAAAGGGCUCGUAGGCGGUUUGUCACGUCGGGAGUGAAAACUCAGGGCUCAACCCUGAGCGUGCUUCCGAUACGGGCAGACUAGAGGUAUGCAGGGGAGAACGGAAUUCCUGGUGUAGCGGUGGAAUGCGCAGAUAUCAGGAGGAACACCGGUGGCGAAGGCGGUUCUCUGGGCCUUACCUGACGCUGAGGAGCGAAAGCGUGGGGAGCAAACAGG
rnacentral:rRNA from 1 species